UGGGGGAUAUUGCACAAUGGGCGAAAGCCUGAUGCAGCGACGCCGCGUGGGGGAUGAAGGCCUUCGGGUUGUAAUCUUCUUUUGCUCUGAACAAGGCAUGCCUUUGGGGUGUGUUGAGUGUAGGGGUUGAUUAGCGCCGGCUAACUACGUGCCAGCAGCCGCGGUAAUACGUAGGGCGCGAGCGUUGUCCGGAAUUAUUGGGCGUAAAGGGCUUGUAGGUGGCUGGUUGCGUCUGUCGUGAAAGCUCAUGGCUUAACUGUGGGUUUGCGGUGGGUACGGGCUGGCUUGAGUGCAGUAGGGGAGGCUGGAAUUCCUGGUGUAGCGGUGGAAUGCGCAGAUAUCAGGAGGAAUACCGGUGGCGAAGGCGGGUCUCUGGGCUGUUACUGACGCUGAGGAGCGAAAGCGUGGGGAGCGAACAGG
rnacentral:rRNA from 1 species